rnacentral:ncRNA from 1 species
GGAACUGAAACAUCUAAGUACCCUGAGGAAAAGAAAUCAACCGAGAUUCCCUUAGUAGUGGCGAGCGAACGGGGACUAGCCCUUAAGUGGCUUUGAGAUUAGCGGAACGCUCUGGAAAGUGCGGCCAUAGUGGGUGAUAGCCCUGUACGCGAAAAUCUCUUAGUCAUGAAAUCGAGUAGGACGGAGCACGAGAAACUUUGUCUGAAUAUGGG